CUCGCCCAUCAGCUUGUUGGCGAGUAAUGGCUCACCAAGCUAAGACGGUAGCUGGUCUGAGAGGAUGAACAGCCACACUGGAACUGAGACACGGUCCAGACUCCUACGGGAGGCAGCAGUGGGGAAUCUUGCACAAUGGGCGAAAGCCUGAUGCAGCGACGCCGCGUGAGCGAUGAAGGCCUUCGGGUUGUAAAGCUCUGUGGGGAGGGACGAAUAAGUGCUGGCUAAUAUCCAGUGCGAUGACGGUACCUCCUUAGCAAGCACCGGCUAACUCUGUGCCAGCAGCCGCGGUAAGACAGAGGGUGCAAACGUUGUUCGGAAUCACUGGGCGUAAAGCGCGUGUAGGCGGCUACGUAAGUCGGACGUGAAAUCCCACGGCUCAACUGUGGAAGUGCGCUCGAAACUGUGUAGCUUGAGUCUUGGAGAGGAAGGCGGAAUACUUGGUGUAGAGGUGAAAUUCGUAGAUAUCAGGUAGAACACCAGUGGCGAAGGCGGCCUUCUGGACAAUGACUGACGCUGAGACGCGAAAGCGUGGGGAGCAAACAGGAUUAGAUACCCUGGUAGUCCACGCCGUAAACGAUGAGUGCUAGGUGUCACGAGCUUUGACCCUCGUGGUGCCGAAGCUAACGCGUUAAGCACUCCGCC
rnacentral:rRNA from 1 species